UGGCUGUUUCUGUCUGCUCAGAUCACACAUUCAGCACCUCAGAGGUGGACUUUACACAGGCCUGGCUAUGUCUGUCUGCUCAGAUCACACACUCAGCACCUCAAAGAUGGAUUUUACAUCAGUAUUGGUGUAAAAUCCUGGCUGAGGAUUUUACAGCAGUGCUGGACAAGCCUGGCUGUGCCUGUCUGCUCACACACACA